UACGGGGGGGGGCAAGCGUUGUUCGGAAUUACUGGGCGUAAAGGGCUCGUAGGUGGCCAACUAAGUCAGACGUGAAAUCCCCCCGGCUUAACCGGGGAACUGCGUCUGAUACUGGAUGGCUUGAGUUCGGGAGAGGGAUGCGGAAUUCCAGGUGUAGCGGUGAAAUGCGUAGAUAUCUGGAGGAACACCGGUGGCGAAGGCGGCAUCCUGGACCGACACUGACGCUGAGGAGCGAAAGCCAGGGGAGCAAACGGGG
rnacentral:rRNA from 1 species